rnacentral:tRNA from 1 species
GCCAGCAUGGCAUAGUGGUUUGAGCGCUGGACUAUGACUCUGGAGACCCGGGUUCGAUUCCUGAGUCGGUCA